rnacentral:rRNA from 1 species
GCUUGUCUCAAAGAUUAAGCCAUGCAUGUUCAAGUAUAGCAAGUGUACAGUGAAACUGCGAAUGGCUCAUUAAAUCAGUUAUAAUUUAUUUGAUAGUGAAAUUGUACAUGGAUAACCGUGGCAAUUCUAGGGCUAAUACAUGCGUCAAUGGUCGGUCGACCAGUAUUUAUUAGAUACAAAGCCAGCCGUCAGGAUCAGGUGAAUCAUGAUAACCAAACGAAUCGCAAGCGCAAGCGGCGAUGGUUCAUUCAAAUUUCUGCCCUAUCAACUUUCGAUGGUACGGUAUUGGCCUACCAUGGUUUCAACGGGUAACAGGGAAUUAGGGUUCGAUUCUGGAGAGCGAGCCUGAGAGACGGCUAGCACAUCCAAGGAAGGCAGCAGG